CCCAUCCCACCACAGAGCCGCGGCGGCAGCAGCAGAGCUGCGCCAGAUGGAAUCAGCCCACGGGCUGGAUUUGGCCCCCGGUUGGAACCGCCUGACUUCAUAGCUUGGAGCUAAUUAAGCUAAUGAUUGAUUAUUAGCUCAGUGCUCGGCCAUCGCUCAGAGCAGGUGUCAUUCCUCCUCCUGGAUUGCCCCGACAACGCUCUCCAUCCGCCUUUGGCAGCAGAAGGCCCCCUGAAGAAGACAGGAGGAAAAUCUGCCUUCCUCACUUGAAUGGUCCGGAAAGAGAUGAGCUUUCCAGAGAGUGAUACUGCUCCAAGUGCCCCCGGUUGCAGCAUCCCAAAUGGGCAGGGGUCUCAGGGAGAGGGCAAAAUGCCCAGUGGCUGGUCCAUUGCAAGGAACUUCACUUAUUGCCUGGAGUUUAUUUUUUUGUUCUGUUCUGAGUAACAAUGCACUUUCCAAGCAGUAACCAGUUCACCAAGACACAGGAUCUUCAAAUCUCACAGAACAGUGCUAUAGCUUUGCAAAAGGCAGGGUUAGAUCCUGAGAUUUCAGAGACCACACGACCAACCUGAAUAUAAAGGGGAGAUGUCCACCCUGCUGCUUUUGUAACUAAUGGGUACAUCGGAUGCUGCAUGCUCCAAUAGUUCCAGGCAGGUCCUCUUUGGCCAUUUCUCAGUCUGUUCAUCCAGAGUCCAGCUGUGAUUUGGAAACUGCCUGGAUUGAUGCCGCUUUCCUCUUCAUCAUACCUGUUUUUCGCCAUAAAAAAAAAAAUAUUCUGAUUCUUCCAUCAUAAAUAAAAUUGCAAAGCAAUGCA
rnacentral:lncRNA from 1 species